rnacentral:rRNA from 1 species
CCUACGGGAGGCUGCAGUGGGGAAUAUUGCACAAUGGGGGAAACCCUGAUGCAGCGACGCCGCGUGAGCGAUGAAGGAUUUCGGUAUGUAAAGCUCUAGCAGCAGGGAAGAAAAGGACGGUACCUGACUAAGAAGCCCCGGCGAACGACGUGCCAGCAGCCGCGGUAAUACGUAGGGGGCAAGCGUUAUCCGGAUUUACUGGGUGUAAAGGGAGCGUAGACGGCUGUGCAAGCCAGACGUGACAGCCCGGGGCUCAACCCCGGGACUGCAUUUGGAACGUUGUGGCUGGAGUGUCGGAGAGGCAGGCUGAAUUCCUCGUGUAGCGGUGAACUGCGUAGAUAUUAGG